GCCCCCGUAGCUCAGUCGGAGAGAGCGCCGGCCUCCGGAGCCGGAGAGCGUGGGUUCGAGUCCCACCGGGGGUGCCA
rnacentral:tRNA from 1 species